rnacentral:lncRNA from 1 species
UGGUGUAGUUAGCAGAGGCCACAUGGUGAGCUUCCAUCGGGUCGGCCAACUAGGUCGGCAACGGUAAAAUCAAAGGCAUUCAAUUAUCUUAUAAGGUAAACUUAAUUUUCACAAUUACCUAGACCAAAAUUAGGAAUUGAGAAAUCUGUAGCGGAACUUGAGCUCUUUGUUGGGGUUCCACCUCCAAGAGAAGCUAUUUUGCCUUCCUAGUUGACCGAAUUAAGCACCAGAGAGAGCAAUUCAG